rnacentral:rRNA from 1 species
GACGAACGCUGGCGGCGUGCUUAACACAUGCAAGUCGAACGGAAAGGCCCUGCUUUUGUGGGGUGCUCGAGUGGCGAACGGGUGAGUAACACGUGAGUAACCUGCCCUUGACUUUGGGAUAACUUCAGGAAACUGGGGCUAAUACCGGAUAGGAGCUCCUGCUGCGUGGUGGGGGUUGGAACGUUUCGGCGGGUGGGGAUGGACUCGCGGCUUAUCAGCUUGUUGGUGGGGUAGUGGCUUACCAAGGCUUUGACGGGUAGCCGGCCUGAGAGGGUGACCGGCCACAUUGGGACUGAGAGACGGCCCAGACUCCUACGUGAGGCAGCAGUGGGGAAUAUUGCACAAUGGGCGGAAGCCUGAUGCAGCAACGCCGCGUGCGGGAUGACGGCCUUCGGGUUGUAAACCGCUUUCGCCUGUGACGAAGCGUGAGUGACAGUAAUGGGUAAAGAAGCACCGGCUAACUACGUG